UGAUUCCAGCAUAUGUUCUCUUCAAGCCAGCCUUGAUUCCCUGGGGUGGCUCAUUGGUAAACUUGAUGGAGGCCUACAAUGUGACAUAAAGAAAAUAAACGAACCUAGUCAGUCUGUGAAAUAACCCAUGUGCCCGAUGCUCGGGGCAAGUAAAAAUCCCGCCGGGCAAGUAAAAAAUCGUAUUUGCUUGCCCGAUCGGGCAAGUGAAAAAAGAGAACGAAAUCGUUUAUCCGAAAAUCAACAAACAAAGUAAAUACGCUAAAUUUGAUGACGUAUUACUCGACUUUGUAAAAGUCGCUAAAUUUGAUGACGUUUUACGCGGUCUGUAUCGACUGGUACACUUACUCCGCAGUCCGAAUCAACAGACGCUUAUAACUAUGCACUGCCACCUACAUCAGUCAAAAACGAAACAACAUUCAGCCAAAUGAAACUGCUUAAAACAAAGAGAAGGGGUCAUUUAAAGGCUGACAGGCUAAAUGACUUGCUCACUAUUAAGCUUGAGAGUGAAGAUAUUGAAAAAUUUGACCCUGAACCAGCCAUUCUUGAUUGGAUGACUAGUACAGCAUCUGGUCAGGGUAGGCGACUGAAUGCCACAAAGAGGAUCAAUCGACAACUUCCAAGACAGUUGUCAUUUCUGAUACAGAUGAGGAGCCGGAGGACCUAGUAGGGAUAGAUGAUGAUGAUGAUAUUGCACAGCAGGAAACGAGUGUCAUGAAAGACUUCUUUGGUGAAAAAGACGACGAUGAUGAUGAUGAUGAUGAUGUCGAGAUGACAGAAGAUACUGUUUUCUCUCUUCUUUUGUCAUUUAGAGAAUAAUAAAACAACUCUG